GUUGAGGUAGCCAAGCCUGGUAUGGCGCAGGUUUGCUAAACCUGUGUCCCCCUGGGACUCGAGGGUUCAAAUCCCUCCCUCAGCGCUA
rnacentral:tRNA from 1 species